rfam:TPA: Bos taurus chromosome 19, whole genome shotgun sequence.
UUCCUGGUGGCCCUGUGGCUAAGACUCUGCACUCCUGAUGCAGGGGCCCCAGGUUCGAUCCCUGGUCAGGGAA